AGGGGAGUAACUCAAUGGUAGAGUACAUGUUUCACAUGUAUGAGACCCUAGGUUUAAUCCCCAGCCCCCCCC
rnacentral:tRNA from 1 species